rnacentral:rRNA from 1 species
GACGAACGCUGGCGGCGUGCCUAAUACAUGCAAGUAGAACGCUGAAGGAGGAGCUUGCUUCUCUGGAUGAGUUGCGAACGGGUGAGUAACGCGUAGGUAACCUGCCUGGUAGCGGGGGAUAACUAUUGGAAACGAUAGCUAAUACCGCAUAAGAGUAGAUGUUGCAUGACAUUUGCUUAAAAGGUGCAAUUGCAUCACUACCAGAUGGACCUGCGUUGUAUUAGCUAGUUGGUGGGGUAACGGCUUACCAAGGCGACGAUACAUAGCCGACCUGAGAGGGUGAUUGGCCACACUGGGACUGAGACACGGCCCAGACUCCUACGGGAGGCAGCAGGAGGGAAUCUUCGGCAAUGGACGGAAGUCUGACCGAGCAACGCCGCGUGAGUGAAGAAGGUUUUCGGAUCGUAAAGCUCUGUUGUAAGAGAAGAACGAGUGUGAGAGUGGAAAGUUCACACUGUGACGGUAUCUUACCAGAAAGGGACGGCUAACUACGUG